GCAUCUGUAGCGCAGUGGGAGAGUGACGGACCCUCACGAGGAAGAUCUGGGUUCGAAUCCCGGCUAAGGCA